GGCCCGCCGCGCAGCCCCCGGCGCACUUCCAGCCCGGAAAGUACUUCCCGUCGCCGCUGCCCAUGGCUUCGCACACAGAAGAACUAAAUUCCGCGGAAACCUCAUUUCUGCAUUCUGCAUUCACAUCCUUAAGACAUUCUGGGGCUGGGACCACGAGGCACUUUCUGCGGGAACAAAACGGCUGUUGUGACUGGGGGGCGGGGUGGGGGGGCGCCGCGGCCUGGCGGAUUAGGGCGGUGUGCGCGCGGGGCGAGCGUUAAUAGGGACUGCCGGUGUAAGACGAGCAAAUCCUGUUUCUAUAUAAAGCCUUGAAGUGUCAGGGUGAGAAUGGGUUUGCAGGGGCUGCGUGUGCUUUCACAAGUGCCUCUGGUAUCCUGCUAAAGCCGGACAAAGCGUGGCCAGAGCGCGGCCCAGGCUGGCGGCCCGCGGCCCUGGGGGAGGGCAGCGCCGGGCGCCGGCCGGGCUGGGGGUGGCGCGGGACUGCCUCCGUAUUUCGGUGCAGGCGAGUUCGCAGCGAAUUUGCUCCAAGAGGAGGGAACUGCGGCUGCCCGGCGUUCCUGUCCUCUCGGAUCCCCUUCCGGAGAGGGCUGGUCCUUGGCAGGGCUGACCCAGGCCUCCGGAGCCACCCUAACCCUUCUGAGGUGGCUUUGAUAUUACUGUUGAGCAAGGUCAGGGGAGAAGCAGAGCCGGGCAGCCAGUAGCCGGGGGGCAGCUCCCUCUAGGAGACCCCGGGGGUCACUGGCCAGUGGCCACAGAGUUUGCAGGAAUGGUUUGGGGCUUGGUGUGGGGGCCUGCUGGUCACCCUUGAAGGCUGGCUUGCUUUUGUUUACAGUUUGUCCUAAACAUCAGAAAUGUUGUUUGCCGCCUUUUUUUGUUUGUCAGUUUGGCAGUAACAGUUAUUAUUGCUAGCUUGAUGAACUGUGAAUACUAAUAAAAUUAUAUCUGCUUUAAUGGGA